rnacentral:rRNA from 1 species
AAACUACCAAGAUCCGGGAUAACCCCGGGAAACUGGGGAUAAUACCGGAUAGAUCAAACUUGCUGGAAGGCUGUUUGGUUGAAACUUCCGGGGCUUUUGGAUGGGUCUGCGGCUGAUUAGGUUGUUGCCGGUGUAACGUACCGUCAAGCCUGUAAUCAGUACGGGUUGUGGGAGCAAGAGCCCGGAGAUGGAUUCUGAGACACGAAUCCAGGCCCUACGGGGCGCAGCAGGCGCGAAAACUCUACAAUGCAGGCAACUGCGAUAGGGGAACAUCGAGUGAUCCUCAUAUUGGGGGUCUGUCCACCCGUCUAAAAAACGGGUGUUAGCAAGGGCCGGGCAAGACCGGUGCCAGCCGCCGCGGUAAUACCGGCGGCUCGAGUGGUGGCCGAUAUUAUUGAGUCUAAAGGGUCCGUAGCCGGCUUUGCAAGUCUCUCGGGAAAUCCAGCGGCUUAACCGUUGGUCGUCCGGGGGGUACUACAUUGCUUGGGACUGGGAGAGGUAGGAGGUACUCAGGGGGUAGGAGUGAAAUCCUGUAAUCCUCUGGGGACCACCGGUGGCGAAGGCGUCCUACCAGAACAGGUCCGACGGUGAGGGACGAAAGCUAGGGGCACGAACCGGAUUAGAUACCCGGGUAGUCCUAGCCGUAAACGAUGCUCGCUAGGUGUCACAACAGUCGUGAACUGUUGUGGUGCCGUAGGGAAGCCGUGAAGCGAGCCACUUGGGAAGUACGACCGCAAGUUGAAA